AUCGAUAAUCCACGUUAANUUUUACUUUAAUUCAUAAUUUAUAUACCACCAUCUCAAGAGUAAAUAAAAAAUAUUUCUCAAAAAAAAUAAUAAAAAGUUAGGUCAAGGUGUAAUUUACAAUAAAGCAUAAAUGAAUUACAUUAAACAUAAUUUAAAGAUUAUCUAUAAAUAUAUUUAUAUAAAUAAGGAUUUAAAAGUAAUAUUUAAAUAAUAUUAUAAUAUGACNUAAAUAAUAAAUGUGCACACAUCGCCC
rnacentral:rRNA from 1 species